GGCCGCGGGAAUUCGAUUCCCCGCGCCGGUCCCGCCGCCCCCGCCCGCCUACGGGAGGCAGCAGUGAGGAAUAUUGGACAAUGGGUGAGAGCCUGAUCCAGCCAUCCCGCGUGAAGGACGACGGCCCUAUGGGCUGUAAACUUCUUUUGUAUAGGGAUAAACCUACCCUCGUGAGGGUAGCUGAAGGUACUAUACGAGUAAGCACCGGCUAACUCCGUGCCAGCAGCCGCGGUAAUACGGAGGGUGCAAGCGUUAUCCGGAUUUAUUGGGUUUAAAGGGUCCGUAGGCGGAUCUGUAAGUCAGUGGUGAAAUCUCACAGCUUAACUGUGAAACUGCCAUUGAUNCUGCAGGUCUUGAGUGUUGUUAAAUACCUGGA
rnacentral:rRNA from 1 species